ACACUUAAACGGGGAUAUGUCAGAAUCGCUAGCGAAUCCUCAUAUACCACAGAGUAAUUCUGCUAUCUAGGACCUGGAAGGGCGACAAAUAGAAGGAUGAGUGGGCAAAAACAAAAGUUUAUAAAACAUAUUUAUUUUUCAGAACAUACUAACCCCUCUCUGUAAAACAUGUAUAGUUUCCAUAAAAUCAUAGUACGUAUAAGUAUGAAAACAAUUGUAAUAAACAAUAAUGCCAGACUACGCCAAACUACAAUAUUUCAACAAUAACAUAAUGAAAACAGGUUGCUCAUCAAUCUACGAUUGCACAUGAGUUCAUGAAGAUAGU
rnacentral:lncRNA from 1 species